rnacentral:rRNA from 1 species
GAUGAACGCUGGCGGCGUGCCUAACACAUGCAAGUCGAACGGAGUGAAGCGUUUAAGGCCUUCGGGUCAAAGAGGGGAAGACUGAGUGGCGGACGGGUGAGAAACACGUGGGCAACCUGGCUCAUAUAGGGGGAUAACAGCGAGAACUUUCUGAUAAUAUCACAUACGCACACCCUGACGCAAAGCCGAGGGUGCAAAGAGAAUCGCGAUGAGAUGGACCCUCGUCGGAUUAGCCUGUUGGCAGGGUAAGCGCAUACAAAAGCGACGAUCAGAAGCCGAACUGAGAGGAUGAGCGGCCACGUUGGGACUGAGACACGGUCCAGACUCCUACGGGAGGCAGCAGUGGGGGAUAUUGCACAAUGGGGGGAACCCUGAUGCAGCGACGCCGCGUGAGUGAAGAAGUAUUUCGGUAUGUAAAGCGCUAGCAGCAGGGAAGAUAAUGACGGUACCUGAACGAGAAGCCCCGGCUAACUACGUG